UACGGGGGGGGCAAGCGUGGUUCGGAAUUACUGGGCGUAAAGGGCUCGUAGGGGGCCAACUAAGUCAGACGUGAAAUCCCUCGGCUUAACCGGGGAACUGCGUCUGAUACUGGAUGGCUUGAGUUUGGGAGAGGGACGCGGAAUUCCAGGUGUAGCGGUGAAAUGCGUAGAUAUCUGGAGGAACACCGGUGGCGAAGGCGGCGUCCUGGACCAACACUGACACUGAGGAGCGAAAGCCAGGGGAGCAAACGGG
rnacentral:rRNA from 1 species